rnacentral:rRNA from 1 species
GAUGAACGCUGGCGGCGUGCCUAAUACAUGCAAGUCGAGCGAACAGAUGAGGAGCUUGCUCCUCUGACGUUAGCGGCGGACGGGUGAGUAACACGUGGAUAACCUACCUAUAAGACUGGGUUAACUUCGGGAAACCUGAGCUAAUACCGGAUAAUAUAUUGAACCGCAUGGUUCAAUAUUGAAAGACGGUUUUGCUGUCACUUAUAGAUGGAUCCGCGCCGCAUUAGCUAGUUGGUAAGGUAACGGCUUACCAAGGCAACGAUGCGUAGCCGACCGGAGAGGGUGAUCGGCCACACUGGAACGGGAACACGGUCAAGACGCCUGCGGGAGGCAGCAGUAGGGAAUCGUCCGCAAUGGGCGAAAGCCUGGCGGAGCAACGCCGCGUGAGUGGUGAAGGUCUUCGGAGCGGAAUACUCUGUUAUUGGGGAAAAACAAAUGUGUAAGUAACUAUGCACGUCUUGACGGUACCUAAUCAGAAAGCCACGGCUAACUACGUG